rnacentral:rRNA from 1 species
GACGAACGCUGGCGGCGUGGAUUAGGCAUGCAAGUCGAACGGUAUCAUCCUUUCGGGGGUGAGAGAGUGGCGAACUGGUGAGUAACACGUAGGUUAUCUACCCUCAAGACGGGGACAACCCAGGGAAACUUGGGCUAAUACCGGAUGUGAGCAACUUUUAGUUGUUUGAAAGGUGGCGUAAGCUGUCGCUUGGGGAUGAGCCUGCGUCCUAUUAGUUAGUUGGUGAGGUAACGGCUCACCUAGGCAAUGAUAGGUAGGCGGCCUUAACGGGUGGUCGCCCGACACCUGGGAUUGAGAUACGGCCCAGACUCCUACGGGAGGCAGCAGUCGAGAAUAGUCUACAAUGGUCGGAAGACUGAUAGUGCGACGCCGCGUGAACGAUGAAUCCCUUCGGGGUGUAAAGUUCUUUUAUAUGUGAGCAGUGCUUCUUAUAUUAACAGUAUGGGGAGAGAGAUAUUAGCAUAUGAAUAAGCAACGGCUAAACUCCGUGCCCAGCAGCCCGGGUAAA